GAUUUCAAGAUUCUAAGGGCAAACGGUGGAUGCCUUGGCAUCUGGAGCCGAAGAAGGACGUAUAAAUCUGCGAUAAGCCUCGGGGAGCUGAUAAUAGAGCUUUGAUCCGAGGAUCUCCGAAUGGGGAAACCCCGCCAGGCCCUUUGGGUGACCUGGUGACUCCCGCCUGAAUAUAUAGGGCGGGUAGAGGGAACGUGGGGAAGUGAAACAUCUCAGUACCCACAGGAAGAGAAAGCAAAAGCGAUUCCGUUAGUAGUGGCGAGCGAAACCGGAAGAGGCCAAACCGAUCAUGUGUGAUAUCCGGUAGGAGUUGCAUGGUCGGGGUUGCGGGACUUUCCGUACAGUUCUACCGAGCUGUGAGGGCAAUGAGCGCGAUAUAGACGAAUGGUCUUGAAAGGCCAGUCAUAGAGGGUGCGAACCCCGUAGUCGAAAUGUCGUCGCCUGUCCGGAGAGUAUCCCAAGUAGCACGGGGCCCGAGAAAUCCCGUGUGAAUCUGUCAGGACCACCUGAUAAGCCUAAAUACUCCCAGAUGACCGAUAGCGGACAAGUACCGUGAGGGAAAGGUGAAAAGUACCCCGGGAGGGGAGUGAAAUAGUACCUGAAACCGUUUGCUUACAAACCGUUGGAGCGCCCUUGUUGGUGUGACAGCGUGCCUUUUGAAGAAUGAGCCUGCGAGUUAGUGAUAUGUGGCGAGGUUAACCCGUGAGGGGCAGUCGUAGCGAAAGCGAGUCUUAAUAGGGCGUAUGAGUCGCAUGUUCUAGACCCGAAGCGAAGUGAUCUAUCCAUGGCCAGGUUGAAGCGACGGUAAGACGUCGUGGAGGACCGAACCCACUUCAGUUGAAAAUGGAGGGGAUGAGCUGUGGAUAGGGGUGAAAGGCCAAUCAAACUUCGUGAUAGCUGGUUCUCUCCGAAAUGCAUUUAGGUGCAGCGUUGCGUGUUUCUUGCCGGAGGUAGAGCUACUGGAUGGACGAUGGGCCCCAAAAGGUUACUGACUUCAGCCAAACUCCGAAUGCCGGUAAGUGAGAGCGCAGCAGUGAGACGGUGGGGGAUAAGCUUCAUCGUCGAGAGGGAAACAACCCAGACCACCAUCUAAGGUCCCUAAGCGCGUGCUAAGUGGGAAAGGAUGUGGAGUUGCAUAGACAACCAGGAGGUUGGCUUAGAAGCAGCCACCCUUGAAAGAGUGCGUAAUAGCUCACUGGUCAAGUGAUUCCGCGCCGACAAUGUAACGGGGCUCAAGCACGCCACCGAAGUUGUGGCAUUUAUAUUAUAGGCAGGCCUUCGUGGUCCAGCCGUAUGGAUGGGUAGGAGAGCGUCGUGUGGCCAGCGAAGCGGCGGUGUGAACCAGCCGUGGAGGCCACACGAGUGAGAAUGCAGGCAUGAGUAGCGAAAGACGGGUGAGAAACCCGUCCUCCGAAAGACCAAGGGUUCCAGGGCCAGGCUAAUCCGCCCUGGGUAAGUCGGGACCUAAGGCGAGGCCGACAGGCGUAGUCGAUGGACAACGGGUUGAUAUUCCCGUACCGAUGAAGAACCGCCCAAGACAAUCCAGUAAUGCUAAGUGUCUGAAUCCUUGAUUCGAUCCCUUCGGGGUGACGGUCUUGGCCUAGCACACGACCCUACGCUGGGGCGUUUAGCGUAUUAACAGGUGUGACGCAGGAAGGUAGCUGAGCCGGGCGAUGGUUGUCCCGGUCUAAGGAUGUAGGGCAGAAGAUAGGCAAAUCCGUCUUCUAUGUAGCCUGAGACCCGAUGGGUAGUCCUCACGGACGAAAUCAGUGAUCCUAUGCUGCCGAGAAAAGCAUCGACGCGAGGUUCCAAUCGCCCGUACCCCAAACCGACUCAGGUGGUCAGGUAGAGAAUACUAAGGAGAUCGAGAGAAUCGUGGUUAAGGAACUCGGCAAAAUGCCCCCGUAACUUCGGGAGAAGGGGGGCCUGAGGCGUGUAGGGAUUUACUCCUGAAGCGUUUGAAGGCCGCAGAGACCAGUGGGAAGCGACUGUUUACUAAAAACACAGGUCCGUGCUAAGUCGCAAGACGAUGUAUACGGACUGACGCCUGCCCGGUGCUGGAAGGUUAAGAGGAACGGUUAGCACGCAAGUGCGAAGCUGAGAAUUUAAGCCCCAGUAAACGGCGGUGGUAACUAUAACCAUCCUAAGGUAGCGAAAUUCCUUGUCGGGUAAGUUCCGACCUGCACGAAUGGCGUAACGACUUCCCAGCUGUCUCAACCGCGAACUCGGCGAAAUUGCACUACGAGUAAAGAUGCUCGUUACGCGCAGCAGGACGGAAAGACCCCGUGACCUUUACUACAGCUUGGUAUUGGUGUUCGGUGUGGCUUGUGUAGGAUAGGUGGGAGACUGUGAAGCUCGGACGCUAGUUCGGGUGGAGUCAUUGUUGAAAUACCACUCUGGUCACUCUGGAUAUCUAACUUCGAACCGUAAUCCGGUUCAGGGACAGUGCCUGGUGGGUAGUUUAACUGGGGCGGUUGCCUCCUAAAGAGUAACGGAGGCGCCCAAAGGUUCCCUCAACCUGGUUGGUAAUCAGGUGUCGAGUGUAAGUGCACAAGGGAGCUUGACUGUGAGACUGACAAGUCGAGCAGGGACGAAAGUCGGGACUAGUGAUCCGGCAGUGGCUUGUGGAAGCGCUGUCGCUCAACGGAUAAAAGGUACCUCGGGGAUAACAGGCUGAUCUUGCCCAAGAGUCCAUAUCGACGGCAUGGUUUGGCACCUCGAUGUCGGCUCGUCGCAUCCUGGGGCUGGAGUAGGUCCCAAGGGUUGGGCUGUUCGCCCAUUAAAGCGGUACGCGAGCUGGGUUUAGAACGUCGUGAGACAGUUCGGUCCCUAUCCGCUGCGCGCGUAGGAAAUUUGAGAAGAUCUAUCCCUAGUACGAGAGGACCGGGAUGGACGAACCUCUGGUGUGUCAGUUGUUCCGCCAGGAGCACCGCUGAUUAGCUACGUUCGGAACGGAUAACCGCUGAAAGCAUCUAAGCGGGAAGCCGGCUUCAAGAUGAGAUUUCCAUCCCUUUUAGGGUGAAGGCUCCCGGCUAGACUACCGGGUUGAUAGGCAGGAUGUGGAAGCGAGGACUAAAGACUCGUGGAGCUGACCUGUACUAAUAAGCCGAUAUCUUGAAAAC
rnacentral:rRNA from 1 species